UAUAUCUGCCUUUAAGAUUUGGUAUCCAAGUAUUUUCUCCAACUGUAAAUUCCCAUUACAAAUUUUCUUUUAUUGAUGUCCUCAGUCCUCAACACAGAAACGUUAUUUAACCAUACUAUAUGUCUAUGUCUAUGCUUCAAGUAUCAGCCAGUUAACUGUAGUAUAAUGUAUUAAUAAUUCAACAUCAGCACUGACAGUGAAUAAAAGAAGGCUUCUGCAGGUUGGGAGAGUAAAUCCUUUAUGUAUGAGCGGGAAGAUGUGAAUUAAAUGCUCUUGUAGUAAACAAUUUCAACAUUUGAAUUAAAAGAUCUGCCCUUUACUUUGCUCUUGGCUGGCCAACAUGCAUGAAUGAAAUGACAAAAUGUCUAUUUAAUGUGUCAACAAUUAUAUACUACAGUUUAACACAAUGUUACGAUGCAGGAUUCAAAUAAACUUCAAACUUCACAAUGUUCCCA